rnacentral:lncRNA from 1 species
GUGUCCAACAUAGACACGUGAGGCUUAUAGAAGUGUUUGUGAUAUAUAGCAGAAAAUAUUUUUUCAACUAAAAAACUAUUUUAUGAAACAAAACACUGUCCCUCAGUUGAAAGAAAAAGUAUGACGAAAAAUUAUCUACAUUAUUAUUAUUAUUAUUAUUAUUAUUAUUAUUAUUAUUAUUAGGGUAAACUUCAAAUAUCACCCAUGUGGUUUCGCACUUUCUCAUUUUAGUAUCCUGUAUUUUAAAGUAUAUCAAUAUAGUUCCCUGUGAUUUCAUUUUUCUCUUUUCGUCAGUCCCUUCGUUAACUUUUCGUUAAAUUAUCUAUACUACUUAUAAAAGCGUGAGUUUUGAAUUUUUUUCCUUUCCAAAAAUGUCUCUAUCUUUUUUACUAAUAUUGUCAUGUCCGAUAAUUUUCAACUAUCCAUUUUUAAUAAAUUUUUAAAUAAUAAUUUAUUCUCAAAUAUAGAUCUUAAGUUUUCACUAUUGGAUCUCAUCCAACGACUAAAAAUAAAAAUAUCUGUCAUUUUUGUUGACAAAAAUACCCUCCAUAUCCAUUAUCUCCUAUAUACGCCGCGUUUCUCAAAUAUUUUUUUUUCUAUCCACAAAUAAUGUAAUAUGCAAAAUUAAAUUUAUCUCUUAUCUAACGUAAUACUCACCAAUCAUGUAAUACCUCCACUAAUCACGUAAUACGUAAAAUUAAAUUUAUUUGCUAUCCACGCGUUUUCUCAAAUAUUUUUUCUUUUCAAACAUAAUACCUGCCAACACGUAGUAUUCAAAUGCCCAUAAUGUAAUAUUCAAAAUUAAAUUUUAAAUUUAUAAUGCCCGCCAAAAUUUAAUACCCGUGAAUUUGAUAAUUUAAAUUUUAAUUCAUAAUAGUAGAUUUUUCCUCACAUAAGAUAGUAAAUUUAAUUUUGACGAGUAUUAAAAUUUGGCGCGCCAUAGAAGCGUUAAAUAUUGCUAAAAAAAUUUUAAUACCUCAAAAUCAAAACUAAAUUGUUAAUCGUUAAUUAAAUAUAAUUUUAAAUAUUUUUAGUAAAAUAUUCAGUAUUUAAAUAAUGUAUCAUAAAAGUAUUGAUUAUUUCUAAAAAAAAUUAAUACCCGUCCACUCAAAACUAAAUCGUUAAUCUAUUACUAUAUACUAAAGUAAAACCCUUUAUGAACCCUAUGUGAGAAGCUGACACGUGGCUUUCUAUAUGCUUGCCAUGUGUCAAAUUCAAAUAUAGAUUUUGAGAAAUUUACGGAUAUUAUGUUGCGAUAGAAUUGGCGGGUGCGGAUAUUACAAAAAUAUUUAUAUUUAUUUGGGAAUAAAUUAUUACAAGCUCAAAUAUAGAUUUUCUAUUUUAGGAAAAAUAAAAUUAGAUUUUUUAAGGAAAUAAUAUUUUUUACUAUAUUAUUAAAAAUCACCUAUAAUGAAGGGGAUUUUAUUUCAAAGUCACCUAUAAUUAUAAUUAGGGUAUCAAUACUAAUAACUAUUAUUACUCUAUAUUUUUAUUAAUUAGAAAAUAAAUUUAAUAUAUUAUUAUAAAAUUGUAUUAUACCAAUUAAAUAUAAUUAAUAUAAUUUACAUGUGAGAAGGAAAAUAUUUGAGAAGGCAAAAAAUUAAUAUCUUUUACUAUAUUAUUAAAAAUCACCGAUAAUGAAGGAGAUUUUAUUUCAAAGUCACCUAUGUUGAGAUAUUUGAGAAAUUCACGGAUAUUACGUUGCGAAAAAAUUGGCGGGUGCGGAUAUUACGCGUGAGAAGAAAAAUAUUUAUUUUUAUUUGGGAAUAAAUUAUUACUUAGUUAAGGACAUAAAAAUAUUAAUAAAAAAUGAUAGAGGUAUUUUUGGAAAGAGAAAAAAAUUCAAAACUCACGCUUUUAUAAGUAGUAUAGAUAUAGAUAUUGCAUGUCACUUCCCUACUAUCACUCCUUCUGUAAUUCCCUGUUGUCACUCCUGUAAUUUUUUUAGUUCUUAAAUGUUGAUACUUUAAAAUAGAACAUAUUAUUUUCAUUUUAUUAUUUAAAUACAAAGCAAGUAUUAAUUUUUUUUCUUGGAUGUCUUAUUGUUCUCAAGAUAUGGCACUUGUGUAUGAUUCUAUACGUGACAUCUCUCCUCUUGAAGACAAAUGAAAGAUCAAAGUCAGAGUGAUUUGUCUGUAUACUAUGCCUGAAUUUCAUCGUCCAGAAGUGGUGAAUAGUCUAGAGUUAGUUCUUUCUGAUCAAAAUGUAAGAUACGAUUUUCAUUUUCAAAUUGAACAUACGUUUGCUUUGUUUUUACUAAAAGAUAUUACAUAAUUUGUUUAUUUUCUAUUUUAGGGAGAUAGGAUACAUGCAACGGUAAGAAAAGCUUUCCUAAACAAAUUUAAAGGCCUUUUUAUGGAAGGAAAAGUUUAUGUGAUCAACCAGUUUGGAGUGGGGCAGAGCAGCUGCUCCUACAGGACCACUAUACAUCCUUACAAAAUCAAUUUUCAGUAUUCUACGGUUGUACGUGAGAUGGAAGAUGUUUUGACAAUAUCAAAGUAUGGAUUUAUUGUCACGCCCCGGGGUCUCUUUAGGUUAAAAACACCGCGGAAAUCUUUUUUUUUCUUUUUUUGAAAACCUAACCCCAGGGAAUGCCAGAUCCGCCACAAAUACAGGGAAUCUACUAUUCACGCGGACAGAGUCUCCCCUAUAUUUGCACGGCGUCGCACAAGUACAAGAAGUAACCCAGGUACAACCACAACCAAAUGAAUAUAGAAACGACUAUGUAAUCAUUCAUUCACCAUUCACAUCACAGUUAUACAUUCAAUAUUUAAACAUAAAUCCACAGAAAAUUCUUUUGAAAACUGUUUCCUACACGGAAACCUUUAUUCUUUAAAAACGCUACCACGAGGGGUAGAAAACCUUUUAUUUACGAAAACCACUAAUCCUUUUUAUUACAUUCAUGAAGCCAAAUCAAAAUAUGAUAGUUAACUGAAAUACCCAAAAACUGAACCAUAUAAACUAUCUAAGCUAUAUCAAUAGGAUAGUAAGAGUAGAAACUAAACCGAAUAACCUGAGUCGAAAGCUCUAUCGACCGCUACGUACGUAUCUCACGUCGUCUCAACCCUCACCGCCCACGAUACCUGAAAAAUAGUGGGGGAGGUGAGAACAUGUAACCAUGUCUCCCCUCCCAGUGGGUACCGCAAGCCGAUGAAGGCGAUGAGUACUCACCGGAUCAGGAAGAGAUCAACAACAGUAUGGGUAAGUAAAAUACAGUAGCCACAAUAAUGAAGGAAUGAGAUAUAUGUAUGAAAGCACAACUACCGCUACUGUAAUGUACAACUGCAAGCAUGCAAGGAUAUCAAAACUAUAGUAGCAAGACAACUGGAAAGAAAGAACUGUAAGUAUAUAUGCAACAACCGCUACUAUAGCUAUAUGCGUCAACCGGACGUAUAGACCAAAUAUACCCAAUCUGGACCGGCCGUAUUGGUACCCAACACCUCAGGCCCAUGCCACAAUUGCUCUAAAUAGAAACAAGCCAUAUUGGUACCCAACACCUCAGGCUGAAAGCAUAUAACCUCACAAGGGCUCACGGGUUGACACAAGCAACCACUUUUCCGGAAAAGAACACCCUCCUGCGGGGGAUCAACCCGCUGGUGUACGUGAAAUGCACUCGAG